rnacentral:lncRNA from 1 species
GAACAGCGCAUGCUGCUGCUGCUGAUUCUGUGUGCUCAGGGCCCUUCUGUGGAGGAGCAGGAGAAUAGGUGGACUGGAAGCAGCUGGCUCACUUUGCAGGAUGUUGGAACCCCCAGACUGCUGUAGAUAUGGAAAGAAGACACUGAGUGGUGGGGAAGGCAUGGGGAGAUGCUCUGAGAUGUGAAGCGUUGACUUAAGAGAUGCCAAGUAACUCAGCAGAUGUCACACAGACGAUAAAUAGCAAAGAUGGAAGUCUUCAUGCCGGAGGCAAUCCUAUAAGACAGCUGAGUUCUGCAGAGCUGGUAGGAGACAGACUUGCUCAGGUGAUAGAUCCAGCCAUGAUACUGACCCUAAGAGAAUGAGACGCUCUGCAGAAGACAGAAGAUUCCUGAAACUGGGAAAGGUGCCUAGAAAUCCUGAUAAGAGUGAAGAAGGAGCUGGCAGAGCAGCCUUCCUCCGCACUAUGAAAGAC